rnacentral:rRNA from 1 species
UACAGAGGUCUCAAGCGUUGUUCGGAUUCAUUGGGCGUAAAGGAUGCGUAGGUGGCGCCGUAAGUCGGGUGUGAAAUUUCGGAGCUUAACUCCGAAACUGCAUUCGAUACUGCGGUGCUUGAGGACUGGAGAGGAGACUGGAAUUCAUGGUGUAGCAGUGAAAUGCGUAGAGAUCAUGAGGAAGACCAGUGGCGAAGGCGGGUCUCUGGACAGUUCCUGACACUGAGGCACGAAGGCCAGGGGAGCAAACGGG